rnacentral:rRNA from 1 species
UACGUAGGGGGCAAGCGUUGUCCGGAAUCAUUGGGCGUAAAGAGCGUGUAGGCGGCCCGAUAAGUCCGCUGUGAAAGUCCAGGGCUCAACCCUGGAAUGCCGGUGGAUACUGUCGGGCUCGAAUCCGGAAGAGGUGAGUGGAAUUCCUGGUGUAGCGGUGAAAUGCGCAGAUAUCAGGAGGAACACCAAUGGCGAAGGCAGCUCGCUGGGACGUGACUGACGCUGAGACGCGAAAGCGUGGGGAGCAAACAGG